UACAGAGGUGGCAAGCGUUGUUCGGAAUUACUGGGCGUAAAGGGCGCGUAGGCGGCCUUGUAAGUCCUGUGUGAAAUCCCCCGGCUCAACUGGGGAACUGCACAGGAGACUGCUUGGCUUGAGUUCGGGAGAGGGAUGCAGAAUUCCAGGUGUAGCGGUGAAAUGCGUAGAUAUCUGGAGGAAUACCGGUGGCGAAGGCGGCAUCCUGGACCGACAUUGACGCUGAACGGCGAAAGCUAGGGGAGCAAACGGG
rnacentral:rRNA from 1 species